AAAGCUGUUACUUCUUGAACAUCUUUUCUGCGUUACUGAACGGGGAAAGUAUUUGUCUUUUUUUUUUUUUUUCUAACGAGUACUCAACAUAUGCCCUGCGUGUGAUAACGAUUUUUAUAAAGCUUAGCAGGCUUAGAAUUCUGUGCCAAUAGCUAUCCUAUGGAGCCAACAGGACUCUCUUCGGAAGACAGCUGAAAAGGAAUGCCAUUUUCCACUAGGAUUGGGAUCGCUUUGUCAAAAAGGAGGAACAGAAGGUCCCGGGCCAGUUGGUCCUCAAAUUCCUUUCUUCGUCUGGCUCUGUUUUGCAGACGAAUGAACUCCACUGCCAGUUGGUGCAUUGCCAGCGUGGGACAGCGGAGAGAAACUGAAGUCUGAGAGGAAGUGGCUAGACGUGCUCUGCUCCAUCUCCCUGAUGGCGGCGCCUUGACUGGCAGCAGUUGUGUUUCUUAAUGGCACUCCAGCUCUGGAAAGGUGACCUGGCCCCUGUGCUCUGACAGUGCUGCCUCUGCCUUUUGUCCCUUCAGGCUGAGAUGGGGGAACUAGUGGUUGGCCAUUGUUGCUAGCCUCUGGAUGGCCUGGCUGUCCUGUUGGGCUUCUUAGUUUUUCAUCUCCUGUGUGACCAUUCCCCCGCAAUAAAGUCCUGCUGUUUUAAAAAUUCA